rnacentral:rRNA from 1 species
GAGUUUGAUCGUGGCUCAGGAUGAACGCUGGCGGCGUGCCUAAUACAUGCAAGUCGAGCGAACGGACGAGAAGCUUGCUUCUCUGAUGUUAGCGGCGGACGGGUGAGUAACACGUGGAUAACCUACCUAUAAGACUGGGAUAACUUCGGGAAACCGGAGCUAAUACCGGAUAAUAUUUUGAACCGCAUGGUUCAAAAGUGAAAGACGGUCUUGCUGUCACUUAUAGAUGGAUCCGCGCUGCAUUAGCUAGUUGGUAAGGUAACGGCUUACCAAGGCAACGAUGCAUAGCCGACCUGAGAGGGUGAUCGGCCACACUGGAACUGAGACACGGUCCAGACUCCUACGGGAGGCAGCAGUAGGGAAUCUUCCGCAAUGGGCGAAAGCCUGACGGAGCAACGCCGCGUGAGUGAUGAAGGUCUUCGGAUCGUAAAACUCUGUUAUUAGGGAAGACAUAUGUGUAAGUAACUGUGCACAUCUUGACGGUACCUAAUCAGAAAGCCACGGCUAACUACGU